CAGUCGCCGCGGGAACACGAAGGGUGCAAGCGUUACUCGGAAUUACUGGGCGUAAAGCGUGCGUAGGUGGUGGUUUAAGUCCGUUGUGAAAGCCCUGGGCUCAACCUGGGAAUUGCAGUGGAUACUGGGUCACUAGAGUGUGGUAGAGGAUAGUGGAAUUUCCGGUGUAGCAGUGAAAUGCGUAGAGAUCGGAAGGAACAUCUGUGGCGAAGGCGACUAUCUGGGCCAACACUGACACUGAGGCACGAAAGCGUGGGGAGCAAACAGGAUUAGAUACCCGCGUAGUCCCUGUCUCUUAUAC
rnacentral:rRNA from 1 species